UUAAGAGAAAAGGGUUCUCUAAACUCCCACAGUGUGCGCCAACUCCCCAAACGUCUGCUCUGCGGAGGCUCGGCAGUGCCGGUAAAUAAAAUCAGUUCGUGCUGACGAUGGAAGGGAUAUUAGGGCAGAACAGGGUUGACGAUGUGAGCUGGCUCUGCUCGCUCUCUGAGUCCGAACUUGACAUGUUGAUUAGCAUAAAAAGGAUUGUUCUUCAUCGUGCAAGGAUGAUUGGGUGCGAUGAACUUGGUCAAAAGUUUGAUCUCAAGGUGCUUCGAGCUCUUGCAUUUGUUCUGAUGGAAUGCGUCAAAGAUGAGGUAAAGGAUUUGGCACCGCCAGAAUCUGCUGCAUUUAUGGGAAGUUGCAAUCUAUUAAAACAUAACCUUGGUGAUAUUAUGAGUCUUGAAGAGAUAAUGGCCUGUAUUGGUAUUGAUUCGAGAAAGGGUCCAAUAAAAAGUAAUGCAGACAACAAUAUGCCGCAGGAAACACUAUUGAGUCUUGGUUCUGUGCUGAAGACCGCACAAAGAAACUAAGCGAAAUCAAAAGAAACAGAAAACUGAAGCCAGUGAAUUAUGAGAUCAGGAAUCGCAGAGGCAGAGAAGAAUAGUCACGUGUUUAUAUCACAAGUAUGUCUGGUGUGUCUGCGUGCGUGUGUUGGAGAGGCUUUUUGUGCUUCAAGCGCGCUUAUGGACUAAUGAACUGAAACCCCACGAGGGAACUCAUGGUUUGUCUCUACCAUCGAUAAUGGAAGUUGAGGGAGAGAUUCCCCUUUGUAACUGUUGUAAUGUCUCUCUAUUUCUAUCUUUGUCUCUAUCUCUCUCAUCACGUCAUCAAUCUGAAUCAGUAAGGGGGUCAUUGGCUCUUAUCCCUCCUUUUAUGCAUGGUGGGUGGGGGUGGGGGUGUGUGUGAGAGAGAGAGAGAGAGAGAGGGAGGGCAUGUUAGUCCAUUCCAGUUCACCUUCUCUGCAUGGCUUGGAGGACUUAAACCCCAUGCUAGAGCUUGGCUCAUUGGUAACCCUAGGGGGACAAAAGAAGGGAGGUGAUGUUUGAAGGCAAUAACUUAAUAAAUCAAACAGCUUUUUGAA